GUUUUAGAAAGAUAAAAGUCAUCUAUU
rnacentral:tRNA from 1 species